UGGGGAAUAUUGCACAAUGGGGGAAACCCUGAUGCAGCAACGCCGCGUGAAGGAUGAAGGCUUUCGGGUCGUAAACUUCUAUCGACAGGGACGAAUAAAAUGACGGUACCUGAAUAAGAAGCCCCGGCUAACUACGUGCCAGCAGCCGCGGUAAUACGUAGGGGGCAAGCGUUAUCCGGAAUUACUGGGUGUAAAGGGUGAGUAGGCGGCUGAUAAAGUCAUAUGUGAAAGCCCGGGGCUUAACCCCGGGACUGCAUAAGAAACUUAUCGGCUAGAGUACAGGAGAGGUAAGCGGAAUUCCUAGUGUAGCGGUGAAAUGCGUAGAUAUUAGGAAGAACACCAGUGGCGAAGGCGGCUUACUGGACUGAAACUGACGCUGAGUCACGAAAGCGUGGGGAGCGAACA
rnacentral:rRNA from 1 species